UUUCUUUUUGUACCUGUAUUGAUGCAUAUGUUGCAGAUGUUGCCCCUAGCCCUGAUGGGCCUGGGACUGCUAUGGGCUGUACUCCAGCGAUCCAUUUGGGGUUGACAUAUGUGAAUCCAUUAAACAGUUUUUGGUCUUUAGAAUCUAUUGGUUUCCGUGGAGUCUCUCCCUGUGAAACAGCUUCCUCCGUGUUUAUGGUUUCUUUUGCAGCUUGUGAUGAUGUCU